rnacentral:tRNA from 1 species
GGGCCUGUAGCUCAGCAUGGAUAGAGCACCGGCCUCCGGAGCCGGAGAUCCCGGGUUCAAAUCCCGGCAGGCCCG